rnacentral:rRNA from 1 species
GCCAGCAGCGAUAGCAUGUUCAUUCCAACAGAUCACCGAAGUUAAGCAACGUUGUGCGUGGUUGGUAUCCGGAUGGGUGACUAUCUGGACAAUCGCGGGCUGCUGGCU